UACGUAGGUCCCGAGCGUUGUCCGGAUUUAUUGGGCGUAAAGCGAGCGCAGGUGGUUUAUUAAGUCUGGUGUAAAAGGCAGUGGCUCAACCAUUGUAUGCAUUGGAAACUGGUAGGCUUGAGUGCAGGAGAGGAGAGUGGAAUUCCAUGUGUAACGGUGAAAUGCGUAGAUAUAUGGAGGAACACCGGUGGCGAAAGCGGCUCUCUGGCCUGUAACUGACACUGAGGCUCGAAAGCGUGGGGAGCAAACAGG
rnacentral:rRNA from 1 species